UACAUAGGCUCCAAGCGUUGUUCGGAAUUACUGGGCGUAAAGGGCUCGUAGGCGGCCAACUAAGUCAUACGUGAAAUCCCUCAGCUUAACUGGGGAACUGCGUGUGAUACUGGAUGGCUUGGAUUUGGGAGAGGGAUGCGGAAUUCCAGGUGUAGCGGUGAAAUGCGUAGAUAUCUGGAGGAACACCGGUGGCGAAGGCGGCAUCCUGGACCAAUAUUGACGCUGAGGAGCGAAAGCUAGGGGAGCAAAC
rnacentral:rRNA from 1 species